CCUACGGGAGGCAGCAGUGAGGAAUAUUGGUCAAUGGACGAGAGUCUGAACCAGCCACGCAGCGUGAAGGAUGACUGCCCUAUGGGUUGUAAACUUCUUUUAUAUGGGAAUAAAACAGGGUAUGCAUACCCUCUUGUAUGUACCAUAUGAAUAAGGAUCGGCUAACUCCGUGCCAGCAGCCGCGGUAAUACGGAGGAUCCGAGCGUGAUCCGGAUUGAUUGGGGUUAAAGGGUGCGUAGGUGGUUUGAUAAGUCAGUUGUGAAAGUUUGAGGCUCAACCGUUAAAUUGCAGGUGAAACUGGCAGGCUAGAGUACAGUAGAGGUGGGCGGAAUUCGUGGUGUAGCGGUGAAAUGCUUAGAUAUCACGAAGAACUCCGAUUGCGAAGGCAGCUCACUGGACUGCAACUGACACUGAUGCUCGAAAGCGUGGGUAUCAAACAGGAUUAGAUACCCUUGUAGUC
rnacentral:rRNA from 1 species